rnacentral:rRNA from 1 species
CCUACGGGAGGCAGCAGUGGGGAAUAUUGCACAAUGGGGGAAACCCUGAUGCAGCGACGCCGCGUGAGUGAAGAAGUAAUUCGUUAUGUAAAGCUCUAUCAGCAGGGAAGAAAAUGACGGUUCCUGAGUAAGAAGCCCCGGCUAACUACGUGCCAGCAGCCGCGGUAAUACUUAGGGGGCAAGCGUUAUCCGGUUUUACUGGGGGGAAAGGGAGCGUGGACGGGAGUGCUAGUCUGGAAUGAAAGGCGGGGGGUCAAACCCCGGGAUGCUCUGGAAACUGUACGGCUGGAGUGCAGGAGAGGGAAGUGGAAUUCCUAGUGUAGCGGUGAAAUGCGUAGAGAUAAGGAGGAACACCAGAGGCGAAGGCAGCUUACUGGGCUGAAACUGACGUUGAGGCUCGAAAGCGUGGGGAGCAAACAGGAUUAGAUACCCCAGUAGUC